CUUUUCUCUGCGCAGACCACCGAAUGACUAGCCUUUAUUGACAGCCUUCACGUAGAGGGUCGACCAUGGCGAUACGGAGCCAAGGAGCGCUGCCCCUCUCUGGCACGAAUGUUCGCGCUCUGCCCCGCAGGUUCCACUGCCGAUGAAAGCAGGGAGCUCCCCAUGGUUCAUCGCACGCGGAGUUGAGCACUGAAGAAGAGAAGACAGCUCACGUGACCAAGGCUGGUUGCUUCGUCAUCACCAGAGAGCAGCAUGCCACUCGGGCAUCUUCGCAUUUGCUUUGUUGCUUCCUUGCUGGCGGCUGGAGCAGUGUGCAUGGUCUCGGCGCGGAGGAACCCGUACGAAAAGAUUCCUGGCACUUGCCGCAUGGAGAGCCAGCUGUACCUGGAGCCGCACGUCUUCAGCAGGCUGACAUCUGCACGUUGCUACAAGUACAUGCCCAGCCUGGCCUUCAAGAAUGCCUCCAGGCUCACGUAUUGCCGCAGAGGUUGGCUCUGUCGAGGCGAGUGCGAGGGGGAGUGCUUCCAGCCGUACGGCAACGACAGCGACGUUCAGGUGCUGGAGACCUUCAAGAAGGGGCUCUAUGCUGGCCGCUGGAAGAGCUGCUGUCAGGCGGCGCGUGACUGCUGCCAGGAGAUGAUCGCGGACGAUCAGGCCGGACUGAGUGCGACAAAAGACGGACUUCACUGUCCCGCCACGUGGGAUGGCUGGACAUGCUACAAGGACACUCCCGCCGGGACGACCGUGCAGAAGCCGUGUCCAGCGCACGCGUACUUCAUCACCGAGACUCCGCAGUGCAUCAAAAUGUCGAAGAAAACCUGCUGGGAGAAUGGCACAUGGUUCUACAGCCAAGAGUAUGGCAAGGAGUACACUUUCUACGACUGCGGCUCACUCGAGUACCACCGCUCCAUGACUAUCUUCUCCAUCGUGCUCCAUUCCCUGUCCGUCGUCGUCCUGGUGCCCGCAAUAGCCAUCUUCUCCGUCUACAAGCAACUUCAAGUUCACCGCAUCUCGCUGCACAAGAACUUUUGCGUCGCCAUGGUGCUGUACGACAUCAGUGUCAUCCUUGUCGACGCUGUUUUCAUACUGGACCACGUCAGCGAGGAGAAAAACAUACGAGUCAACGAGAACCCGAACCUCUGCAAGGUGCUCUACACCCUCUCUCGAUACUUCCGGCUGUGCCAGUACGCGUGGAUGUUCUGCGAGGGCUUCUACCUGCACAAGCUGAUCGCCUCCGCAUUCGCCGAGCAGAAGUCGCUGCUAGUCUUCUACGUCAUCGGUUGGGGUUGUCCCGCUAUUUUCGUCAGCAUCAGCGCCGUCCUGCGAGCAGUGCGGAUUGGACACCCUUGCUGGAUGGAUAACGUCGAAGGAUACAACUGGAUUACUCUGGCUCCAGGUCUCUUCUGCCUGUUUGCAAACUUCGUCUUUCUGUGCAACAUCAUCCGCGUCCUUGUCACCAAGCUUAGGAGCACCCACGCAAAUGAGCCUAGCCAGUUUCGGAAAGCCGUACGUGCUGUGCUGGUGCUGUUCCCCUUAUUUGGCAUGCACUUUCUGAUGACGGUAUACCGGAGUCCAGCCAACUGUGGAGCCUGGGAGAUCUAUCAGUACAUCAGCAAAGCAUCCGACGGUUUGCAGGGAUUUUUCGUAGCUGUGAUAUUCUGCUAUCUCAACGGAGAGAUUCAGGGCCAAAUCACGCGGUCCAUCGAGCUCGUGAAAUUGGAGUCUUCACUGGCCAGGGCGAACGACCGGCGGCGUUCGACGCGCACCCAGGUCCUAGCUUGCUGAGUGGGGGGCCUCAGCAUUGCUUGCCCUCCUCCGUCCCGUCGCCGACAGGACGUCGCUGCUGCCGGCUAAACGUGCACGGCGUUGUCCCUGUCUCUCGGCCGUGCCCCGUGCUCUACCUGUUGAAGCGCUCGUACGGUCGCUACCGGCUACAGCGGGGCUUCUCAAGCCGUAGGGGCAACAGCCUCGCCAUGACCCGCAUGUCCGUGUCCACGCACGUCACAUCGCUGGGCGACUCGCUCAACCCCAACAACGGCUCCGUCAAGAAGUACUCCUGCGCACGCAACGGCGACACUGCACCCGAACAACAGCCCUUGAACUGAGCCGCCUUCUUUGACUGUCGAGCGCUGCAACCAUACAAACUUUCCGGCAGCAGCCAAGUCGGCGCUCUGCUUUGUGCCAUUGCCCCAUCCCAUACUGUUUAAGGAACACCGACAUUGUCUUGAUGGUGGACGCGUCAUCGGAGUGCAACGCCUUUUCUUCAAGGGGCUGUAGAUUCCUCCUUCUUUUUUUUUUGGGGGGGGGGGGGGGGGAGGGGCAGUUUACACGGCGUGUCACCAGCGAAGCCACGUGGAACAUGAUGGAGGAUAUGCUCAUGCAAACGCCGCUGUGGCCCGUUAUACUAUAGAAAAGAACGCAAAGCCGUCCCUUUAUGGCGGUUGCGUGGUGGUGCUCCUUCACCUAUGUGUUUAUCAUGGACGUCGAACGACGCCAAGCGCAACGUUGUCAGUUUGUGCAGUGCGGCCGUGUUGCUUCAGACGUACGCUGACUGCUGACUGCUGACUGCCGUAUCAGGCAGAAUGCAAUUCUGUUUCUUAAGGCAUCCAUGUUGAUGCAGACAUGUGUGCCAAAGAAACUUGUGAGCUUCUUUCGGACAAUGUUUUUAAUGUCCUGGUGAUGAGGGGAUUGUGGUUGUGCUGCCUGAAUGAGGAACUCUGUACCCACGGCCUAAGCGGUGAAUGUACUCAAAUAUUUUUUUUUUUUGUUACUGGAGACGGUGCUCGUUCAAAACAAGAAAGAAAUGGCGCUAAACUGUUUCCGUCACAAAUGUGUUCUCAUACGUCGAAAUGUCAAACUUUUUCCCCUUCUCAGUGACAAACGGACUCGAGUGCAUAUGGAAAGUAAACGUGUCGCAGAUUGGAGACGCUGGCAACAUCGUGGCAUGUGUGCGACAACGGGGCAAAAUUCAUUCGAGCAUUUAACGCUAAAUUAACCGUAUUAUUACUCAUCAACUUCUGAUAAUUACUCGCUCAGCCCACGUUCAGCGCUGAAAUGACGCAGCCAUUGCGCUGAAGAAAACAAUACUCGCAGCAAAACUCAGGACACAGAGCAUACGGAACUCUGCCUAGAAAUAAUACUGUAAAUCUCUUCACCCUAUAUAUAUAGCUGUCAUGAUGGCCACUGCUGAGAGGAUAGAGCUGACAGGAAUGAACGAUAAUGACGGUGCACUCGAUGCAGCGUUUUUGCCACCUCGCAGUCGACGGGUCUGUCUGUGUGCUGAGGAUAUAAUAUUAGCACACAUGAUCGACACCUCUGCGUCGUGAUCAGUCUGACGAAGUACGUGUUUGUGCGGCCCAUAAGGACAGUUUCAGCACGUACAUAUGGCUUUCUCACGUUUUAUUCAUCGUGUGUAUAAUAUAACUAUGUCAAUAGUAUUCAGAACGUCCCAGCAAACCUGUUGUCAUCCUCCCUUCGCUCCUAUGGAGUUCGACAUACCAAAAUACGUCCCUAGAACUGACCAUCGUCCAUAUCUGUCCUCGUGAAUUUAGCGAAUCUUAGCAGAACCUCUUGCGGGAUGACUUGGUGCACUUGUCAUAGAACAAGGGCCAAAAAUGGAUUAGCCCGUAGACAGACGACGAACGAAAUAAAACACACAUACGAGGAAAGAGGUACGAACGAUUCUCUUGCCUUUUAUGUUUUUGUGACCGUUCUUCGUGGGGUUACGAACUCUGGCGAAUGUGCAAUCGAUAUUAUGGUGGUUUCGGAGAUAGAAGAAAUAGAUGCAUUGUUGAGCAGCCUGUUAAAGGUUGUGUCCAAGACCUAUCCCUGUUUAUUG
rnacentral:misc_RNA from 1 species